rnacentral:rRNA from 1 species
AAUCCAUAGGUUAAUGAGGCGAACCGGGGGAACUGAAACAUCUAAGUACCCCGAGGAAAAGAAAUCAACCGAGAUUCCCCCAGUAGCGGCGAGCGAACGGGGAGGAGCCCAGAGCCUGAAUCAGCAUGUGUGUUAGUGGAAGCGUCUGGAAAGGCGCGCGAUACAGGGUGACAGCCCCGUACACAAAAGCGCAUGUGCUGUGAGCUCGAUGAGUAGGGCGGGACACGUGGUAUCCUGUCUGAAUAUGGGGGGACCAUCCUCCAAGGCUAAAUACUCCUGACUGACCGAUAGUGAACCAGUACCGUGAGGGAAAGGCGAAAAGAACCCCGGCGAGGGGAGUGAAAAAGAACCUGAAACCGUGUACGUACAAGCAGUGGGAGCACAGGUUUACCUGUGUGACUGCGUACCUUUUGUAUAAUGGGUCAGCGACUUAUAUUCUGUAGCAAGGUUAACCGAAUAGGGGAGCCGGAGGGAAACCGAGUCUUAAUUGGGCGUUAAGUUGCAGGGUAUAGACCCGAAACCCGGUGAUCUAGCCAUGGGCAGGUUGAAGGUUGGGUAACACUAACUGGAGGACCGAACCGACUAAUGUUGAAAAAUUAGCGGAUGACCUGUGGCUGGGGGUGAAAGGCCAAUCAAACCGGGAGAUAGCUGGUUCUCCCCGAAAGCUAUUUAGGUAGCGCCUCGUGAAUUCAUCUCCGGGGGUAGAGCACUGUUUCGGCUAGGGGGCCAUCCCGGCUUACCAACCCGAUGCAAACUGCGAAUACCGGAGAAUGUUAUCACGGGAGACACACGGCGGGUGCUAACGUCCGUCGUGAAGAGGGAAACAACCCAGACCGCCAGCUAAGGUCCCAAAGUCAUGGUUAAGUGGGAAACGAUGUGGGAAGGCCCAGACAGCCAGGAUGUUGGCUUAGAAGCAGCCAUCAUUUAAAGAAAGCGUAAUAGCUCACUGGUCGAGUCGGCCUGCGCGGAAGAUGUAACGGGGCUAAACCAUGCACCGAAGCUGCGGCAGCGAACGUAUCACUUAAAGCGAUUCAGCGGGUUACGAUUGACGGAGCGAAGCGACGUCAAAGCGUAUACAAAGUCGAGUCGGUUUAAGGAUACGUUCGUUGGGUAGGGGAGCGUUCUGUAAGCCUGCGAAGGUGGCCUGUGAGGGUUGCUGGAGGUAUCAGAAGUGCGAAUGCUGACAUAAGUAACGAUAAAGCGGGUGAAAAGCCCGCUCGCCGGAAGACCAAGGGUUCCUGUCCAACGUUAAUCGGGGCAGGGUGAGUCGACCCCUAAGGCGAGGCCGAAAGGCGUAGUCGAUGGGAAACGGGUUAAUAUUCCCGUACUUGGUGUUACUGCGAAGGGGGGACGGAGAAGGCUAUGUUGGCCGGGCGACGGUUGUCCCGGUUUAAGCGUGUAGGUGUGUGUUCCAGGUAAAUCCGGUUCACUUUAACACUGAGGCGUGAUGACGAGGCACUACGGUGCUGAAGCAACAAAUGCCCUGCUUCCAGGAAAAGCCUCUAAGCAUCAGGUAACAUCAAAUCGUACCCCAAACCGACACAGGUGGUCAGGUAGAGAAUACCAAGGCGCUUGAGAGAACUCGGGUGAAGGAACUAGGCAAAAUGGUGCCGUAACU